rnacentral:rRNA from 1 species
AUUGAACGCUGGCGGCAGGCCUAACACAUGCAAGUCGAACGGUAACGCGGGGCAACCUGGCGACGAGUGGCGAACGGGUGAGUAAUGCAUCGGAACGUGCCCAGUAGUGGGGGAUAACUGCUCGAAAGAGCAGCUAAUACCGCAUACGACCUGAGGGUGAAAGCGGGGGAUCGCAAGACCUCGCGCUAUCGGAGCGGCCGAUGUCAGAUUAGGUAGUUGGUGGGGUAAAGGCCCACCAAGCCAACGAUCUGUAGCUGGUCUGAGAGGACGACCAGCCACACUGGGACUGAGACACGGCCCAGACUCCUACGGGAGGCAGCAGUGGGGAAUUUUGGACAAUGGACGCAAGUCUGAUCCAGCCAUGCCGCGUGCGGGAAGAAGGCCUUCGGGUUGUAAACCGCUUUUGUCAGGGAAGAAACGCUCUGGGUUAAUACCUCGGGGUAAUGACGGUACCUGACGAAUAAGCACCGGCUAACUACGUGCCAGCCGCCGCCGUAACAC